CCUGGGUCAUGAGGCGGUCGGCGCCCGUGUUCUCCUCGUCCUUGAAGAUGAUGUCGGGAUUGUAGUUGGGGGACACAGUGGUGGUUCAGGAUCUCAAUCUCAAAUUCAGAUCUGCAUCCAUCCGGUCACCUGCAGUGGAAGGAGGGUGGGGAAGAGGCCCAUCCUGUUGCCAAUAAACUGGAGAACCAAGGUGUGCCACUUCCGGGGCCAGCAAUGGCCUGGAGUUUAAGCAGCAGCAACAGAGCCUGAUGAGGGCACCUCACAUCUGAGUCCCAGGCCUAUUGUCCUGCCACUUGCCCAGAUCAAUCUUGCUCUAAAUCCAUGGGAGCCGAACCACAACCAGACAAGUUUCAGGAGUGCCGUUAGUCGAAUACCUGCCGGUGACUCAGGGCACAGCAGCCCCGGCUCAUGGAAAGAGCACCAGGCCUGGAAUUGGCCGAUCUGCACCCGAACAUGGUCUCUGAUACCUUCUACCCAUGUGGCCUUGGGUGCUCUAAUUCCAACUGGUGAUGGGGUUAGACCUCUUGAAGGAUAUCCGUUUUGAAGGAGGGGAAGGAAUGCCUAAAAAGAAUGAAGAGGAAACUCAGAGAUGGGCUGUGGCUCAAACACAGAUGAUGGCACAGUGAUAAUGAAAACCCAAGCUGGACGAUCUAGGAAGGGGGGAGGUUCCACUGCGAUCUGAUGUAACCUUCACUAAAGCCUUAUGAAAUUGACACCAUUAUCUUCGUUUUACGAAUGAGGAACUAAGGUUCAGAGCUUGUAAGCGAGGGAGUUGAAGUUGGAAUCCAGACCGGUUUGACUCCAUAAUAAUCCCAUUUCUUUGUGAUUCCUGGGGCAAGCACACUGGGUUGUUGACCUCUGUUCAAGACACUCAUUUUCUCUCUAAAUAUAGGGGACUCUUUUGUUACCUU